CCUACGGGAGGCAGCAGUGGGGAAUAUUGCACAAUGGGCGCAAGCCUGAUGCAGCCAUGCCGCGUGUGUGAAGAAGGCCUUCGGGUUGUAAAGCACUUUCAGCGGGGAGGAAGGCGUUCAGGUUAAUAACCUUGGCGAUUGACGUUACCCGCAGAAGAAGCACCGGCUAACUCCGUGCCAGCAGCCGCGGUAAUACGGAGGGUGCAAGCGUUAAUCGGAAUUACUGGGCGUAAAGCGCACGCAGGCGGUCUGUCAAGUCGGAUGUGAAAUCCCCGGGCUCAACCUGGGAACUGCAUUCGAAACUGGCAGGCUAGAGUCUUGUAGAGGGGGGUAGAAUUCCAGGUGUAGCGGUGAAAUGCGUAGAGAUCUGGAGGAAUACCGGUGGCGAAGGCGGCCCCCUGGACAAAGACUGACGCUCAGGUGCGAAAGCGUGGGGAGCAAACAGGAUUAGAUACCCCGGUAGUC
rnacentral:rRNA from 1 species